rnacentral:lncRNA from 1 species
GUUAACUGAAAAGACUAAAGUGAAAAAUUUAGAUUUUCAUUUCCCUCUCAAAUUUUCAGAUUUCAUUCCAAGAAAAUGGAGGCAAAUUCAAACUUCUUUUUGCUCCAAAUACAUCAAUAAAUAGAGCAUCAUUUAAGGCUCAAAUUUGCAUGUACAUCAAAAGUACCACUACACAAAUAAAGAGAGCAAAAUGGCAGAGAAAANGAAAAAAAAAGCAAACAUGUAUGAAAUUCAAAGGAACAACAUAGCACAGUGGCUGCUUCAAAACAGUAAGGAAAGCAAGCUUCGGUACGGUGCGAAGAAGAAGGAACAACAUUGACGUGAGGACUGUUUGGCGCAUUUGGACAGCAACACGUGCACAAAAAUCCAUGGGGCAGCCCUGUACAACUCAUGUCAAUAAAAAAAUGAUCAAACAAAGCGAUAAAAAAGUACUUGAUAUAGAUAAAGUGAAGCAAUUAUAUGUUCUAGAAAGGUCAACAAUAAGGAAAAUAGCGAGCAAGCUUGAAGUGAGUAAAAGCUUGCUUAGAGUGUGGAUAAAGGAAACAAAAAGUGAGAGCACAUACCAAUGCAAUUAAACAUGCCCGAACACUUCAAAUCAUUUAAGUAGACUCACUUGGAGCCUUAGUCAAUUAAGUGCAAUUAAUGCAAAUGGAAAAAUCAAAUUUCAGCCUAUGUAUAACACAAUACACAUAGAUGAAAAAUGGUUUUAUUUAACCAAAACCUCAGAUAGGUACUACCUCUUGCCAGAUGAGAUAGACCCUUAUAGAGCAUACAAAUCUAAAAGAUUCAUUACAAAAAUCAUGUUCAUGUGUGCGGUUUCAAGACCAACAAAUUGACCAUGUAAAAUCAUCUUUGAUGGCAAGUUUGAUAUAUUCCCAUUCACAACAGUUGAGCCAACUAUAAGGAAUAGCAAAAACAAGUUGAAAGGCACUAUGGAAACAAUGCUAAUUCUAGCAAUCACAAAAGAAGUCAUCAGAAUUGCAUAAUCAACCAAGUGAUCUUAGUAGUAGCUGAUCAGGACAAUGUGAAGCCCAUCAAGAAUUCAGACCCUGAUUUCAUAGUAGCUGUCACAUCAGAUGGAUUUAAUAUCCAACUGAUUUGCUGACCACCGAACUCGCCGGAUACCAAUGUGAAUUAUCUAGGAUUUUUCAGAGCAAUUCAGGCACUUCAAGAUGAUAAGUUGGCUAAUGGUGUAGAAGAUUUGCUUGAUCUAGUGAAGUUAAACUAUGUUUCCUUACACUACAUGGAGAAAUCAUCAAAUGCAGGGGCAACAACAACUACAAAAUUCCACACAUCAAUAAGGAUAGACUCUCAAGGCUUGGGAUUCUUCCAGAAUGUUUGGAGGUGGAAGAGCAACUUGUAAGAUAAUGCUUAGAUGAACUAAGGCAACAACAAAUUGAACAAGGACAAUCUACAACAAUGAUCCACUAGUGGACGGACUACAACAAGUCAUUUUAAUGGAUUAGUUGGUGUUUUACUCUUUAUUUUUGGGCUAAAUGUUUACAAACAUAAACACUGCCAGAAAUCAUCAUUUUGAGUUGUUUGUAAUGUAAACUUAUUGCCUCAACUAUAUGAAUUUAUAUUAUGCAUCAUUAACAUAAGGACUUAAUCUUAGUUCAACCUCCUUAACUAGGGAAUACCUAGUGGUGACACGGACAUGAGAUUAUUUACCCUCAGACACUAAAAGUUCAGUUGUCAUCACAGGGUAAUAUACCAAGCAGACCAAGGCAGAGGACCAACCCACCAAACUCAACAAACAUAGAUGUAUGUUCACCCAAGAAUUCAGAGAUGCAAAUCACAAUAAAUUUAGCAUCACCAGCCUAUAUAACAUAACCACAGUUUCAAACUCGAAGAUCACAGUAAAUAUGGCAUUACUGGCCCACCAAUCACAACCAACAUAAGAGUAUUUACCCUCAGACACUGAAAGUUCAAUUGUCAUCACACAGUGAUACACCAAACAUAGAUGCAUGCUCACCCAACAAUUCAGAGAUGCAAAUCACAAUAAAUUUGGCAUCAUCAGCCCAAAUAACACUACCACAAUUUCAGGAUCGAAGAUCACAUCAAAUAUGGCAUCACCAACCCACCAAACACAACCAACAUAAGUGUAUUUACCCUCAUAUACUAAAAGUUCAGUUGUCAUCACAAGGUUAUACACCAAAUAAAUCAAGACACAUGACAAAACACAGCAACAUGUUCUUCCAACAUAAUAAAUAAGGCAUCAUCAUCCACCACCAGUAGAAAUUCAAAAUUAGGAACACAAUCACCUGAUUAAAUUAGGGCCAAGGCACCCGGGCACCAAAUGCCAAGUAAUUGCAGGUACUGAAUCCUCAUCUCGUCACUCCAGACAUUCUAAUUGUCCGAUCGACCUUCUUAAUCUUCGAUGAAGCCAUCCACGACCAGAUCUAUAGGUGCUUCAGGUACCACCGUAUCCGGCUCGAAAGCCCACGACCACAUUGAAAGGGACUCUGUGUGGGUCGCCGUCAACGAUAGCAGAACAUUGGAGAUGAUUCAGUCAGAGGCAUCGUGUCACCGAAAGGCUGACCGAGCAUCCAAUGAGAAAUCGGGGAGUCAAGAAAAGAUUCCACCAAAGGCGUUUAUGACACCACAGUGUCCGACUCCGUGGGGAUCAUCGUUAACGGUGGCAAAAAUGGUGAUUUGAUAAGAGAAUCACUGAUUUCAGAGAGAGAAGUAGGAGAGAGGGUGAGAUUCAUCGAAGAGGGAGGCAGAGCCUUAAGGUGAAGAACAAAGGAGCGAGGCACCGAGUUUGAGGGAGGCAAUGUGGACUAGAAACACGAAGGAGAUAGGCGAUUUUCUAUCCUCAAUUUAGGGUUUUAGAUGGAUGAUGCAGUUUAGGAUUGAUUAGGAUUAAAAUUAUCUUGAGAAAUUAGUGUGGAUUUAUAUUAUUUCAUGGGUGUUUGAUAUCAUGGCUACUUAAUCCUAUAUUAUGUUUGAUAUCCAUAGGAUUAUGUUGGAUUAUAUUAUUUAAUACCAAAACUAUCCUCACAUAAUUUUAAAAAUAUCAUGUGUGUCCACCAUUACUUGGGCAUUUGCAUCGAUAUGCGUGAGGAAGGGUAGCAUAAUUUUUAUCCAACUUCUCAGUAUUAAAUUUAUCCGAGGGGGUGGGCGGAUUAUUAGUAUGGGUUAAUCCCACAAAAUAGCAUGGAGAAGUAGGAUUAAGUAGGAGUUGACCAUAUUAACUGCACAUGAUAUCAAACAUCACACUAAUCUGUAUUAAUUUAAUUUAUUCUACCUAUAAACCCAUAUCAAACAGGCCCUUAGGGUUUUAGAUGGAUGAAGAAGGAAGGAAAGACGAUUUUCUACCAUCAAUUUAGGGUUUCAUACGGAUGAACAAUGAAGAAGGAGAGAGGCGGCGCACCUUUAGAGAAAUCUAGAAAGUAGGGUUUGAGUGAGAGAUGAUAUUGAGUGAGAAUUCUAGAUAGAAGUGAACCAGAAA